CAGCCAUCCCUCCUGGAGCCCCUCCCUCUCUCGGUCCUCCCCACAUCCGUCUCCUGGCAAUGAUGUCUCCUUUUCUCCUUCAUCUCAAGGUCCAGCCUGCCGAGUGGCCUGUGGCCGGCCUGGGGGCGGUGCGGACCCCCUCCCCACAGGCCGCAGGGGAGAUGCCCAUCGCCCGAAAGCGUCCUAUCCCCUACUACCGGCCCAGCCCCUCGUCCUCCUCCAGCUGCCUGAGCAGCGAGUACUCAAGCCGGAGCCCCAGCCGCAGCCCCAGCCCAGGCCACAGCCACGGAAGCUACAGCAGCCGCAGCCGCGGGACCCGCAGCCGCACGCGCAGCCCCUCCCGGACCCCCAGUCCCAGCUACCACAGCCGGAGCAGCUCAGAGAGUGGGGGCUUCUGAGCCCAGACAAACCCAGCUUGGUGCCCCCUGGAAUAGGGAAAGGCGAGGGGUCAGGACCCAGGACCUGUGAGGGGGCCUGCACCCCACUGCUACAAAGAGGUCCCCGGGCCAGGGAAGACCUUGAGGGUGGGUGUCCUGCAGAGGAGGAGAAGCUGGGUUCUGCUGCUUCUAGAGGGUCCCUACCUCCACCUCCUGCCUGCCCACCACGUCCAGGGAACAAAGAGCCGUUGCGAACACAGGGAUCACCCUGUCCCCCUUCCUGCUUGAUGCCAGCUCACCAGGCUGGGGACAGCUCCGUGGACCCAGGGACACCUUGGAAGGUGCCAGACCUGGGAGCCUCCCCCACCCUCUCCACAGGGCCCUCGGCUCCUCUCUAUCAAUGGGCAGACAAGGAGGUGGGAAGGCGAGCAGGAUCUAAGUUAGACAGAAGGAAGAAUGGCCUAACCCUUGGUGCAGCACCAUCCAGGCUGGGGAGCUGCUUCCUUCUGAACUGGCUGCAGGAUCCUGGCUGAGGGCUGGAGGCCAGCCCACAGCCUCCCCCAGCCCCUCCCCUGGCCCAGGAGCACCCACACAGACUAGGUGGGCCCCUAAGCCCCAGCCCGGAGAAGGGGAGCUUACUCCUGGUCCCACCUCUCCUCUCCAGGCCAGGCUGUCCCCUCCAGCCCUCACUCCAUGCCCUGGGCCAAGGCCACAGCAGCCAGGCCUUCUGCAUGACAAGAGGUGGGACAUUCAGACCACACUGCAUCUGACCCUGAGGUCAAAAGGGCUUCAGGUCAGGAUGAGGGAGAGAGAAGGGGUAGAUGGAAGAAGAGCCUGUGAGGAGCAGAGGAGAGCAAUGCAGUCUGAUGACUGAGCAAGCCCUGUUGUCCCAGUGUGCCCUGUGUCUGGGACAUGGGCCAGAUGGCAGCACAGGGUCACAGGCAUAGGAUAACAUGCACUUCGGGGCCUGCCCAAAGGAGCACUUCCUUCUCGGGAUUUGGUGGGGAGGUGGUCAGUGGUGGCUACCCAGAGAAGGGUGCUACAGCCCUUUGAAGAAAGGGUAAGAUCUAGACUGAGGGCCUUGGCCUGGGGCAUUCGUGGGAAAGCAGUGACCGCCCCCCCCCCC
ensembl:lncRNA